rnacentral:rRNA from 1 species
GACGAACGCUGGCGGCGUGCUUAACACAUGCAAGUGGAGCGACGAACCGGGCUUCGGCCCGGGGCAAAGCCGCGAACGGGUGAGUAUCACGUGGGUAACCUGCCCCGACGACCGGGACAACCCGAGGAAACUCGGGCUAAUACCGGAUGUGCUCCUCACACACCAGUGUGAGGAGGAAAGGAAGCUUCGGCCUCCGCCUCGGGAUGGGCCCGCGGCCCAUUAGCUUGUUGGUGAGGUAAAGGCUCACCAAGGCGACGAUGGGUAGCUGGUCUGAGAGGACGAUCAGCCACACUGGGACUGAGACACGGCCCAGACUCCUACGGGAGGCAGCAGUGGGGAAUCUUGCGCAAUGCGCGAAAGCGUGACGCAGCAACGCCGCGUGAGGGAAGAAGGCCUUCGGGUUGUAAACCUCUUUCAGGAGGGACGAAGGUUCAGGCGCGAAUAGCGUCCUGGACUGACGGUACCUCCAGAAGAAGCCCCGGCUAACUACGUGCCAGCCGCCGCUGUAAGAC